CGGUGUUCAACUGGCGUGUCCGCGGGACGUCCUGCCGGUGGGCUUAGCCCGCAAGGGCGGCCCAACUUCAAAUCCCAUCGCGGUGCUCUUCACUGAGUGUCGAGGUGGGCCGGCACGUUUACUUUGAACAAAUUAGAGUGCUUAAAGCAGGCUAAAACUUCGCCUGAAUACUGUGUGCAUGGAAUAAUGGAAUAGGACCUCGGUUCUAUUUUGUUGGUUUUCGGAACCCCGAGGUAAUGAUUAAUAGGAACGGAUGGGGGCAUUCGUAUUGCGACGUUAGAGGUGAAAUUCUUGGAUCGUCGCAAGACGGGACAGAAGCGAAAGCAUUUGCCAAAAACGCUUUCAUUGAUCAAGAACGAAAGUUAGAGGUUCGAAGGCGAUCAGAUACCGCCCUAGUUCUAACCAUAAACGAUGCCAGCUAGCGAUCCGUCGACGUUCCUCCGAUGACUCGACGGGCAGCUUCCGGGAAACCAAAGCUUUUGGGUUCCGGGGGAAGUAUGGUUGCAAAGCUGAAACUUAAAGGAAUUGACGGAAGGGCACCACCAGGAGUGGAGCCUGCGGCUUAAUUUGACUCAACACGGGAAACCUCACCAGGCCCGGACACCGGAAGGAUUGACAGAUUGAGAGCUCUUUCUUGAUUCGGUGGGUGGUGGUGCAUGGCCGUUCUUAGUUGGUGGAGCGAUUUGUCUGGUUAAUUCCGAUAACGAACGAGACUCUAGCCUGCUAACUAGGCGUAUUUUCGACAUCUCAAAGGUCCGUCGUCCCGGCCCUCGGGUCGUGGGCGUGCGCGAUUUUUACUGUCGGCGUACUAUCAAUUCUUCUUAGAGGGACAGGUGGCUUCUAGCCGCACGAGAUUGAGCAAUAACAGGUCUGUGAUG
rnacentral:rRNA from 1 species